GUCCACGCCGUAACGAUGUCAACUAGCCGUUGGAGCCUUGAGCUCUUAGUGGCGCAGCUAACGCAUUAAGUUGACCGCCUGGGAGUACGGCCGCAAGGUUAACUCAAUGAAUUGACGGGCCCGCACAAGCGGUGGAGCAUGUGGUUUAAUUCGAAGCAACGCGAAGAACCUUACCAGGCCUUGACAUCCAAUGAACUUUCUAGAGAUAGAUUGGUGCCUUCGGGAACAUUGAGACAGGUGCUGCAUGGCUGUCGU
rnacentral:rRNA from 1 species